AUGUAAAUCAUUUAUUUAGUUUAGUCCAUUUAAUCUUUCAAUUUAUUUAGUUUAGAAAAAUGCUUAGAGUAUGUUAGUUUAAGAAAACCAUAAGUUGAAAUGCUUAGAAAUCUUGCGUAUGGGUGUUAAACCAUGAUUCAAGGGCAUUUAAUGUGAGUCAAAUUCUUGAAAAGUUGUGUAAUUACUUCAUUGUUAUGAAGUUUUGCAACAAAAAUGGACGAAUGGAAAAUAUAUUCACAAAAGCUCUUUUAUCCCAGAAAAUUACUUUAUACAGGAAGUAACUUGGCCUAUUCAAUUUUAAAUC
rnacentral:lncRNA from 1 species